UACGAAGGGUGCAAGCGUUGCUCGGAAUUAUUGGGCGUAAAGGGCAGGUAGGUGGUCUUAUUUGUCUAGGGUGAAAUCCCAGGGCCUAACCCUGGAAGUGCCUUAGAAACGGUAGGACUAGAGUUCUAGAGAGGGUCGUGGAAUUCCCGGUGUAGCGGUGAAAUGCGUAGAGAUCGGGAGGAACACCAGAAGCGAAGGCGACGACCUGGAUAGAUACUGACACUCAACUGCGAAAGCGUGGGGAGCAAACAGG
rnacentral:rRNA from 1 species